AAAACUUUCAACAACGGAUCUCUUGGUUCUGGCAUCGAUGAAGAACGCAGCGAAAUGCGAUAAGUAAUGUGAAUUGCAGAAUUCAGUGAAUCAUCGAAUCUUUGAACGCACAUUGCGCCCUCUGGUAUUCCGGGGGGCAUGCCUGUUCGAGCGUCAUUA
rnacentral:rRNA from 26 species